rnacentral:rRNA from 1 species
GACAGAGGCCUCGAGCGUUAGGCGGAAUCACUGGGCUUAAAGCGUGUGUAGGCGGAUCGUUAAGUGCCUUGUGAAAUCCCACGGCUUAACUGUGGAACGGCUGGGCAUACUGGCGGUCUUGAGCCAUCUAGGGGCGACUGGAACAAACGGUGGAGCGGUGAAAUGCGUAGAUAUCGUUUGGAACGCCAAUGGUGAAAACAGGUCGCUGGGGAUGAGCUGACGCGUGAGAACACGAAAGCCCAGGGGAGCAAACGGG